ACUUGAAGGCCCUUCAUUCAUGAACUGUUGUGCAGGGGAUAAAGUCUUCCUACUGACUUCCUCUUGAACCCCUGUCCCACUUCCCGUGUCUGCGUAGAGAAAGCUCACCACAGACGAAUGUGCUGUCUUCCUUUGCCUUCUGCUCCGGCAGCAGCUCUCCACCCUCUCCUCUAUCUCAGGAACACCUGGCCUCAGAGCUCAGAGGAGGAGAUAAUUUGAUUGGUUGGAAUUCAGUGAAAGAAUCUCAAACCCUGCUGCUAUAAAUUGGUAGAUGAAGGAGGAACUCAGUUACCAGAAGAGGAACAGAGGCACUGGCUUUGAAAGGUUUGGAACAGAGGAAGAAUACCUGACAUUUAUUUGUUGCCAGGAGCUAGGACAAACUGAUACUCAGCGGAAGGAGUCCUGAGAAUAAAGAAGUGCAGAAAAUGGCUG